UACGUAGGUGACGAGCGUUAUCCGGAAUUAUUGGGUGUAAAGGGUGCGUAGGCGGGCUGUAAAGUCAGAUGUGAAAUUCCGGGGCUUAACCCCGGAACUGCAUUUGAAACUUACGGUCUUGAGUGGAGUAGAGGUAAGCGGAAUUCCCAGUGUAGCGGUGAAAUGCGUAGAUAUUGGGAGGAACACCAGUGGCGAAGGCGGCUUACUGGGCUUUUACUGACGCUGAGGCACGAAAGUGUGGGGAGCAAAC
rnacentral:rRNA from 1 species